ACACUGGUGGUUCAGUGGUAGAAUUCUCACCUUCCAUGUGGGAGACUGGGGUUUGAUUUCUGACCAAUGUA
rnacentral:tRNA from 1 species